CCCAGGGUGGUGCAAAUGUUAACGCGUUUGGCUUCUAACCAAAAGGUUGGAAGUUUGAGUCUACCCAGGGA
rnacentral:tRNA from 1 species